UUAAAUUGAAGAGUUUGAUCAUGGCUCAGAUUGAACGCUGGCGGCAGGCCUAACACAUGCAAGUCGAACGGUAACAGGAAGCAGCUUGCUGCUUUGCUGACGAGUGGCGGACGGGUGAGUAAUGUCUGGGAAACUGCCUGAUGGAGGGGGAUAACUACUGGAAACUGUAGCUAAUACCGCAUAACGUCGCAAGACCAAAGAGGGGGACCUUAGGGCCUCUUGCCAUCGGAUGUGCCCAGAUGGGAUUAGCUAGUAGGUGGGGUAACGGCUCACCUAGGCGACGAUCCCUAGCUGGUCUGAGAGGAUGACCAGCCACACUGGAACUGAGACACGGUCCAGACUCCUACGAGAGGCAG
rnacentral:rRNA from 1 species